CCUACGGGAGGCAGCAGUGAGGAAUAUUGGUCAAUGGUCGGGAGACUGGACCAGCCAAGCCGCGUGAGGGAGGAAGGUACAGAGUAUCGUAAACCUCUUUUGUCAGGGAACAAAGGCGGGGACGUGUCCCCGGAUGAGUGUACCUGAAGAAAAAGCAUCGGCUAACUCCGUGCCAGCAGCCGCGGUAAUACGGAGGAUGCGAGCGUUAUCCGGAUUUAUGGGGUGAAAAGGGUGCGCAGGCGGUCUGUUAAGUCAGCGGUCAAAGCCCGGGGCUCAACCCCGGCCCGCCGUUGAAACUGGCAGUCUCGAGUUGGAGAGAAGUAUGCGGAAUGCGCGGUGUAGCGGUGAAAUGCAUAGAUAUCGCGCAGAACUCCGGUUGCGAAGGCAGCAUGCCGGCUCCACACUGACGCUGAGGCACGAAAGCGUGGGUAUCGAACAGGAUUAGAUACCCUUGUAGUC
rnacentral:rRNA from 1 species